rnacentral:tRNA from 1 species
GGGAAGGUGACUCAGUAGUAGAGUGCUUGCCUUGCAUGCAUGAGGCCCUGGGUU